CAGUCGCCGCGGUAAUACGUAGGGUGCAAGCGUUAAUCGGAAUUACUGGGCGUAAAGCGUGCGCAGGCGGUUAUAUAAGUCAGAUGUGAAAUCCCCGGGCUCAACCUGGGAACUGCAUUUGAGACUGUAUGGCUAGAGUGUGUCAGAGGGGGGUAGAAUUCCACGUGUAGCAGUGAAAUGCGUAGAUAUGUGGAGGAAUACCGAUGGCGAAGGCAGCCCCCUAGAAUAACACUGACGCUCAUGCACGAAAGCGUGGGGAGCAAACAGGAUUAGAUACCCCUGUAGUCCCUGUCUCUUAUAC
rnacentral:rRNA from 1 species